GAUGAAGAACGCAGCGAAAUGCGAUAAGUAAUGCGAAUUGCAGAAUUCAGUGAAUCAUCGAAUCUUUGAACGCACAUUGCGCCCCUUGGUAUUCCAUGGGGCAUGCCUGUUCGAGCGUCAUUUGUACCUUCAAGCUUUGCUUGGUGUUGGGUGUUUGUCUCGCCUUUGCGUGUAGACUCGCCUUAAAAUAAUUGGCAGCCGGCGUAUUGAUUUCGGAGCGCAGUACAUCUCGCGCUUUGCACUCAUAACGACAGCGUCCAAAAGUACAUUUUACACUCUUGACCUCGGAUCAGGUAGGGAUACCCGCUGAACUUAAGCAUAUCAAUAAGCGGAGGA
rnacentral:misc_RNA from 1 species